UACGUAGGGGGCAAGCGUUGUCCGGAUUUACUGGGCGUAAAGAGCGCGCAGGCGGUCGUUCAAGUCGCGUGUGAAAGCCCCCGGCUCAACUGGGGAGGGUCACGCGAUACUGAUCGACUCGAAGGCAGGAGAGGGUAGUGGAAUUCCCGGUGUAGUGGUGAAAUGCGUAGAUAUCUGGAGGAACACCGGUGGCGAAGGCGACAUCCUGGACCGGUAUUGACGCUGAGGCGCGAAAGCCAGGGGAGCAAACGGG
rnacentral:rRNA from 1 species